rnacentral:snRNA from 1 species
AGACUUGCGCAGUGGCAGCAACGUGGCCAAUGAGGCCCUGCCGAGGUGGGUUUAUGGCUGAUUGAAAACCAGGCAGAGUUUUUGCAAUCUAAUGCUCUUUUGAAUAGAACGAUGAAUACUAGUGACUAGCCUCUGCGCAGGC